rnacentral:rRNA from 1 species
UACAGAUGGGGCAAGCGUUGUUCGGAAUUACUGGGCGUAAAGGGCGCGUAGGCGGCCCGCUAAGUCGAACGUGAAAUCCCCGAGCUCAACUCGGGAACUGCGUCCGAUACUGGCGGGCUUGAAUCCGGGAGAGGGAUGCGGAAUUCCAGGUGUAGCGGUGAAAUGCGUAGAUAUCUGGAGGAACACCGGUGGCGAAGGCGGCAUCCUGGACCGGCAUUGACGCUGAGGCGCGAAAGCUAGGGGAGCGAACGGG